GGAGUCUGGUCCGUGUCUCAGUACCAGUGUGGGGGACCUUCCUCUCAGAACCCCUACGCAUCGUCGCCUUGGUGGGCCGUUACCCCGCCAACAAGCUAAUGCGCCGCAUGCCCAUCCCGGACCGACGGAUCUUUCACCCUAAGGACAUGCGUCCUCAGGGCAUAUGGGGUAUUAGACCCAGUUUCCCGGGUUUAUCCCCCUGUCCGGGGCAGGUCGCAUACGUGUUACUCACCCAUUCGCCGGUCGCCACCAGGGAUUGCAAGCAAUCCCAGUGCUGCCCCUCGACUUGCAUGUGUUAAGCCUGUAGCUAGCGUUCAUC
rnacentral:rRNA from 1 species